GAUUGAACGCUGGCGGCAGGCUUAACACAUGCAAAGUCGAGCGGGGGAAAGGUAGCUUGCUACUGGACCUAGCGGCGGACGGGUGAGUAAUGCUUAGGAAUCUGCCUAUUAGUGGGGGACAACAUCUCGAAAGGGAUGCUAAUACCGCAUACGUCCUACGGGAGAAAGCAGGGGAUCUUCGGACCUUGCGCUAAUAGAUGAGCCUAAGUCGGAUUAGCUAGUUGGUGGGGUAAAGGCCUACCAAGGCGACGAUCUGUAGCGGGUCUGAGAGGAUGAUCCGCCACACUGGGACUGAGACACGGCCCAGACUCCUACGGGAGGCAGCAGUGGGGAAUAUUGGACAAUGGGGGGAACCCUGAUCCAGCCAUGCCGCGUGUGUGAAGAAGGCCUUAUGGUUGUAAAGCACUUUAAGCGAGGAGGAGGCUACUUUAGUUAAUACCUAGAGAUAGUGGACGUUACUCGCAGAAUAAGCACCGGCUAACUCUGUGCCAGCAGCCGCGGUAAUACAGAGGGUGCGAGCGUUAAUCGGAUUUACUGGGCGUAAAGCGUGCGUAGGCGGCUUAUUAAGUCGGAUGUGAAAUUCCCCGAGCUUAACUUGGGAAUUGCAUUCGAUACUGGUGAGCUAGAGUAUGGGAGAAGAUGGUAAAUUCCAGGUGUAGCGUGAAAUGCGUAGAAUCUGGAGGAUACCGAUGGCGAAGGCACCUCUGGCCUAAUACUGACGCUAGGUA
rnacentral:rRNA from 1 species